rnacentral:rRNA from 1 species
CAGUCGAGCGGACAGAUGGGAGCUUGCUCCCUGAUGUUACGGCGGACGGCUGAGUAACACGUGGAUAACCUGCCUGUAAGAGUGGGAUAACUCCUGGAAACCGGGGGCUAAUACCGGAUGCUUGUUUGAACCGCAUGGUUCAAACAUAAAGGGUGCCUUCUCCUCCCUUUAACUUGGGGACCGCGAUCCGAAAUGAUAAUGGUGAAGGGGGGGUGGCUCAACGCCACGAUGCCUAUCCCACCUGAUAGGGCGAUCGGCCCCCCUGUGAAUGACACGUCAUCCAGACUCCUACGGGGGGGACGUGCAGGGAAUCUUCCGCAGGGGAGUAAAGGGCGACGGACCAACGCCGCGUGAGUGAUGACUGGUUCGGAUCAUAAAGCUCUGUUGUUAUGGAAGAACUUAUCCCGUUCUAAUAGGGCGGGACC